UCGUAUGUAAACUAUCCCUACAUACUCCUAUUGGACAUAUCCCAUUUCAUUUAAAUAGGCCCAAUUCCCUCAUUUAAACCCUAUAGGUCAAAUGAUUCUUGACUUAAGCCCACUUACUUAUUAAGCCCAACCAUACUCUUUCUUCUCUACUCUAUAAAUACCUCCUAAAAUCCUAAAAUUUGCCGCACAAAGAGGCUCAAAAUCAGAUUUUUGCAAAGUAAGUAAUUUUUUACUUAUUUUCUUUCCAUUUUCCUUAUCUUUCUUUCUUUUUUUUCUUUUUCUAUUUUUCCUUAUUCUUUCUUUUUCCUCUUUGUUUUCCUCCUGCUGGUCUUGCGUGAGUGCUCCACUAAGCUGCCACGUGUCACGCCUUCCACCUCACCUCGCCGGAAAAAACACCGGCCACCUUCCGUCGGCAGUCCAGCCAACCAUCCGCCACCCACGCACGGAGACUUUAAGUUUGAGUGAUUUCUAUCAUUGUGGCUAGUUGGAAAGACGAUUGAAGGUGCGUAUGCGUGUAAGAUGUGUUAACUAUGCGUAGUACCAUGUUAGGAAGAAGUUAAAUUUGGUAUAAAGUAUGAGAUUAGUAUCAUGUUAAGUUGAUGUGAUACUUGAAAUGAUUGAUUGAUUAUCCAUGUCUUAUAUAUAAGCAUGUGAGCAUGUUGAAAUUAUUAUUAUGAGCUUAAUACAAGUUGAAAGAGAUUGAAUCAUGUAUAUUAUUUAAUAUUCAUUAUCAAGAAGGCAUGUAUUUAUUAUGCUAAGACUUAUAUAUGAUUAAAAGAGCUAAAGUUAUAUUUAUUGAGCAUAAUUCAUGAUUUUAUUCUGUUGAGUCGAGAAAGUUAGUUUAUUUAUUUACUCACCCAUAUAAGUUGAGGUCGAGUCAAGGAAGUUAGUUUAUUACUCAUUCACAUAAGUUGAGGUUGAGUCAAGGAAGUUUAUUAGUGCAUUUUAUGCACCAAAGUAGUAAUAGUGAAAUUUUGUGCACUAGGCAAGGAACCCUAUUUAAAAUGAAUAGUAUGUGCUCGCUAAUUAAUUCAAGAAUGAAAUGGAAGUAUGUGUUGGUUAUUGUUAUGUAUGUUUAUUUUUAUUGGUUGGAGUCAUCACAAGUUAAAUUGGUAAAUCACGUAAAGUGUAAGAGGAUACGCAUCAAAGCUCUUGGAACAUAUAUACUUUGAGUAUGAACACAUCGGGGGAGUUAUGCGACUUUAUAUUUGAUCAUAACUUCUACAUGGACUUUUUAUUAUUAUUAAUGUGUUGGAAUUCCGUCACAAGUAUGGCAUAGUAGGUUUCAAUUGGGGUAGCUCCCUAGUUGGAAUCUCAAUAUUUAAUGGGCUAUUCUAAGAGAAGGAAACUCGUUAAUCGCUAUUUAUUAAUAAAUAAAAUAGAUUCAUGAGUCAAAGGUAAGUUGACUUGUGUUGUAUGACAAACACCUUUUAUUUGUUUAUUUAUUAUUGUCUAUUUGUAGGAUAUUCAUGUUAGUGUGAUUGUUCCUAUGGUGCAUAUGUACUCAGCUUUUGCUGUUCGUACUUUGUUGUUUAUGUUUAGCUUUUCUUUGUACUGGCCCCUAUGAUUCAUUUUAUAUGGCGAGUAGUGAGGUUGAAAUAAAGAGAAGUACAAGUAGAAGGAGCAUAUCAAGCAUGUUGGGAUUGAACGAAGAGGGUUAUAUGUUUUUUUGUUUAUUAUUUAUUGUAUUGAAUUAAUUAUGUAAUCAUUGGCACUAACAUAUAAUUAUUGUUUUAAUAUUGUAUCCUGGUUUUUAAGAGCCUUAAA